UACGUAGGGCGCGAGCGUUGUCCGGAAUUAUUGGGCGUAAAGAGCUCGUAGGCGGCUUGUCACGUCGGGUGUGAAAGACCGGGGCUUAACUCCGGUUCUGCAUUCGAUACGGGCUAGCUAGAGUGUGGUAGGGGAGAUCGGAAUUCCUGGUGUAGCGGUGAAAUGCGCAGAUAUCAGGAGGAACACCGGUGGCGAAGGCGGAUCUCUGGGCCAUUACUGACGCUGAGACGCGAAAGCGUGGGGAGCGAACAGG
rnacentral:rRNA from 1 species